rnacentral:rRNA from 1 species
AGCAGUAGCCGCGGUAAUACGAAGGGUGCAAGCGUUAAUCGGAAUUACUGGGCGUAAAGCGUGCGUAGGCGGUUUGUUAAGUCUGCUGUGAAAUCCCCGGGCUCAACCUGGGAAUGGCAGUGGAUACUGGCAAGCUAGAGUGUGUCAGAGGAUGGUGGAAUUCCCGGUGUAGCGGUGAAAUGCGUAGAGAUCGGGAGGAACAUCAGUGGCGAAGGCGGCCAUCUGGGACAACACUGACGCUGAGGCACGAAAGCGUGGGGAGCAAACAGGAUUAGAUACCCGCGUAGUCCCUGUCUCUUAUAC